GAGUUUGAUCAUGGCUCAGAACGAACGCUGGCGGCAGGCUUAACACAUGCAAGUCGAGCGGUAACGCGGGAGCAAUCCUGGCGACGAGCGGCGAACGGGUGAGUAAUGCUUCGGAAUCUGCCCAAUAGUGGGGAAUAACUAGCCGAAAGGUUAGCUAAUACCGCAUACGACCUACGGGUGAAAGCAGGGGAUCGCAAGACCUUGCGCUGAUGGAUGAGCCGAAGUCGGAUUAGCUAGUUGGUAGGGUAACGGCCUACCAAGGCGACAAUCCGUAGCUGGUCUGAGAGGACGACCAGCCACACUGGGACUGAGACACGGCCCAGACUCCUACGGGAGGCAGCAGUGGGGAAUAUUGGACAAUGGGGGCAACCCUGAUCCAGCGACGCCGCGUGUGUGAAGAAGGCCUGCGGGUUGUAAAGCACUUUUAGUGGGGAUGAAAAGCCGAAGGCUAAUACCUUUCGGUCUUGACCUAACCACAGAAAAAGCACCGGCUAACGCUGUGCCAGCAGCCGCGGUAAG
rnacentral:rRNA from 1 species